rnacentral:tRNA from 1 species
UCCCUGAUGGCUCAGAUGUUAAAGCACCUGCCUACAAUGCAGGAGACCCAGGUUUGAUCCCUGGGUUGGGAA